rnacentral:rRNA from 1 species
CCCUUAGAUGUCCUGGGCCGCACGCGUGCUACACUGACACUUACACCGAGUUUUUCCGGCCCCGAGAGGUGGCUGGUAAUCAGUAAUAGGUGUCGUGAUGGGGAUAGAUCUUUGGAAUUAUUGAUCUUGAACGAGGAAUGCCUAGUAAUCGUAGGUCAUCAGCCUGCGAUGAUUACGUCCCUGCCCUUUGUACGCACCGCCCGUCGCUCCUACCGAUUUCGAGUGGUCCGGUGAACCUUUCGGACAGAGAGAGUCUCGUACAAUCUCUGAAAGUCAAGUAAACCACAUCACUUAGAGGAAGGAGAAGUCGUAACA